rnacentral:lncRNA from 1 species
UCUGGGGCCUGCUAGCCCCGCCCCACACAUACAGGGGGCUGCUGCCUCCUCCAUCGUGGAGGGGGAGGUGUGUCCUCUCUCCCCAUGAUCGGCUGCAGUUCCCAUUUUGUCUUAGAUGUUAUACCUGGGGUGGGGGCACCUCACACUGCCCCAGAGGAUGCCCCUGAGCAGGAAUCGCGGGGGUGGAGAGGAGCGAAGGUGGCCCCCUUGGAGCCCUUUUGGAGCUCCGGCUGCAGCCCACACUCCUGCUCAGAAGUGCGCCUCCGUUGGGGAUCCAGGUCCAAGGCCUGUCACCGUCCCGCCCACAGGUGUCCCGACCCAGGCUAAGCUUGAGCAUGGCUGAGCAGGAGCCCACAGCCGAGCAGCUGGCCCAGAUUGCAGCGGAGAACGAGGAGGAUGAGCACUCGGUCAACUACAAGCCCCCGGCCCAGAAGAGCAUCCAGGAGAUCCAGGAGCUGGACAAGGACGACGAGAGCCUGCGAAAGUACAAGGAGGCCCUGCUGGGCCGCGUGGCCGUUUCCGCAGACCCCAACGUCCCCAACGUCGUGGUGACUGGCCUGACCCUGGUGUGCAGCUCGGCCCCGGGCCCCCUGGAGCUGGACCUGACGGGUGAGUGCCCUGCGGCCGC